rnacentral:ncRNA from 2 species
GCUUCGCAUGAUCGCGCCGGUGCCCCGCAAGGGGCUCAAAUGUGGAAUGCGGUGCGGGAGGGGUUCCUCCCAAAGCCGCGGCUGUCCCUGCAACUGUAAGCGGAGAGCGCGAUGCACAUGUCCUGUCCAGGCCCUUCGAACGGGGGCCGGCGGGACGGCCACUGGAUCGAGACGAUCUGGGAAGGCGUGCAUCGAGCCGUGACCCGUGAGCCAGGAGACCUGCCGGCGCUGUCGCUCAUGC